AUUGAACGCUGGCGGCAGGCCUAACACAUGCAAGUCGAGCGGAUGAAGGGAGCUUGCUCCUGGAUUCAGCGGCGGACGGGUGAGUAAUGCCUAGGAAUCUGCCUGGUAGUGGGGGAUAACGUCCGGAAACGGGCACUAAUACCGCAUACGUCCUGAGGGAGAAAGUGGGGGAUCUUCGGACCUCACGCUAUCAGAUGAGCCUAGGUCGGAUUAGCUAGUUGGUGGGGUAAAGGCCUACCAAGGCGACGAUCCGUAACUGGUCUGAGAGGAUGAUCAGUCACACUGGAACUGAGACACGGUCCAGACUCCUACGGGAGGCAGCAGUGGGGAAUAUUGGACAAUGGGCGAAAGCCUGAUCCAGCCAUGCCGCGUGUGUGAAGAAGGUCUUCGGAUUGCAAAGCACUUUAAGUUGGGAGGAAGGGCAGUAAGUUAAUACCUCGCUGUUUUGACGGUACCAACAGAAUAAGCACCGGCUAACUUCGUG
rnacentral:rRNA from 1 species